GGGUUGUGAGGUUAAGCGACUAAGCGUACACGGUGGAUGCCCUGGCAGUCAGAGGCGAUGAAGGACGUGCUAAUCUGCGAUAAGCGUCGGUAAGGUGAUAUGAACCGUUAUAACCGGCGAUUUCCGAAUGGGGAAACCCAGUGUGAUUCGUCACACUAUCAUUAACUGAAUCCAUAGGUUAAUGAGGCGAACCGGGGGAACUGAAACAUCUAAGUACCCCGAGGAAAAGAAAUCAACCGAGAUUCCCCCAGUAGCGGCGAGCGAACGGGGAGCAGCCCAGAGCCUGAAUCAGUGUGUGUGUUAGUGGAAGCGUCUGGAAAGGCGCGCGAUACAGGGUGACAGCCCCGUACACAAAAAUGCACAUGCUGUGAGCUCGAUGAGUAGGGCGGGACACGUGGUAUCCUGUCUGAAUAUGGGGGGACCAUCCUCCAAGGCUAAAUACUCCUGACUGACCGAUAGUGAACCAGUACCGUGAGGGAAAGGCGAAAAGAACCCCGGCGAGGGGAGUGAAAAAGAACCUGAAACCGUGUACGUACAAGCAGUGGGAGCACGCUUAGGCGUGUGACUGCGUACCUUUUGUAUAAUGGGUCAGCGACUUAUAUUCUGUAGCAAGGUUAACCGAAUAGGGGAGCCGAAGGGAAACCGAGUCUUAACUGGGCGUUAAGUUGCAGGGUAUAGACCCGAAACCCGGUGAUCUAGCCAUGGGCAGGUUGAAGGUUGGGUAACACUAACUGGAGGACCGAACCGACUAAUGUUGAAAAAUUAGCGGAUGACUUGUGGCUGGGGGUGAAAGGCCAAUCAAACCGGGAGAUAGCUGGUUCUCCCCGAAAGCUAUUUAGGUAGCGCCUCGUGAAUUCAUCUCCGGGGGUAGAGCACUGUUUCGGCAAGGGGGUCAUCCCGACUUACCAACCCGAUGCAAACUGCGAAUACCGGAGAAUGUUAUCACGGGAGACACACGGCGGGUGCUAACGUCCGUCGUGAAGAGGGAAACAACCCAGACCGCCAGCUAAGGUCCCAAAGUCAUGGUUAAGUGGGAAACGAUGUGGGAAGGCCCAGACAGCCAGGAUGUUGGCUUAGAAGCAGCCAUCAUUUAAAGAAAGCGUAAUAGCUCACUGGUCGAGUCGGCCUGCGCGGAAGAUGUAACGGGGCUAAACCAUGCACCGAAGCUGCGGCAGCGACGCUGAUGCGUUGUUGGGUAGGGGAGCGUUCUGUAAGCCUGUGAAGG
rnacentral:rRNA from 1 species